rnacentral:misc_RNA from 1 species
ACUGCAAUCUUCAUACAGCGUUCAAUGGUGUCUUCGGCGGGCGCGGGCCCGGGGGCAGAUGCCCCCCGGCGGCCACAAGUGGCGGGCUCGCCGAAGCAACAAGGUAUGAUAAACACGGGUGGGAGGUUGGACCCAGAGGGCCCUCACUCGGUAAUGAUCCUUCCGCAGGUUCACCUACGGAAACCUUGUUACGACUUUUACUUCCUCUAAAUGACCAAGA